AACAGAUGCAAGAUUAAAAGGACAGCCAGGGACAUAAAGAACGGAAUCUAGAGUAACAGAGGUAGAGGAUUCGCUUGUCCAACUCCUUUUGCUUUAGUUUGAGGCCCAUUAGCUAAAGUAAUGUUGGGAAGAAACUGUGAAUACGCAAUAUUUGACAAAAGGGAUUUAUUACCAGAGAUAUGAUCAGAAGUAGCUGAGUCCACAAACCAUUGUUCAAGAGGACUAGACUGGUAAACACAAGCAAAAGAAUUACCAGCAAGAAGUAUCAGUCUGAGCAACAUAGGCUACUUGUGGAGAUGUCUGCUUACUUGCUCGAUAUUUAAGGAACUCAUUAUACUCCCCUUCAGAUACANNNNNNNNNNNNNNNNNNUCUGAGCAACAGUGGCUACUUGUGGAGACGUCUGCUUACUUGCUCGAUAUUUAAGGAACUCAUUAUACUCCUUUUCAGAUACAGAAAAUCCCUGGUUAUCUGUAGUCUCGGUCUGAGCAACAUAAGCAUUUUUUGGUGGUAGACCAUGUAAAGAAUGGCAUAUGUCACGAGUGUGACCAAGUUUAUAACAAUAAGAACACUUGGGUCUAGAUCUUCCAAAACGACCUCCUCCUCGUCUAUACUCCAUAGCAUGAGAAGCCCGAUUGUCAAUGAUUUGGGAUACGAGGAUAGAUGAAUCAAGUGUCUGUGAUGAGCUCAUUGGGUAACUUGGUGCUGCAGCAAGGCGAAGUAAGCGAGAGAAUAAUUCAUCAACUGUGGGGACAGUCGGACUAGCCAAAAGCUGAUCGCGUACUGAGUCAAGAUCAUUAGGAAGCCCAGCAAGAGUAAGAACUAGAAACAGCUUUUUUCGUUGCUCUUGCUGCUUUGCAACGCUAGCAGAAACUGGCAUCAACGUCUCAAAUUCCUCCAUAACUGCCUGCACUUGACCCAAGUAAGUAGACAUAUNNNNNN
rnacentral:lncRNA from 1 species